rnacentral:rRNA from 1 species
AGUGAACGCUGGCGGUAGGCCUAAAACAUGCAAGUCGAACGGCAGCACAGUAAGAGCUUGCUCUUACGGGUGGCGAGUGGCGGACGGGUGAGGAAUACAUCGGAAUCUACUUUUUCGUGGGGGAUAACGUAGGGAAACUUACGCUAAUACCGCAUACGACCUACGGGUGAAAGCAGGGGAUCUUCGGACCUUGCGCGAUUGAAUGAGCCGAUGUCGGAUUAGCUAGUUGGCGGGGUAAAGGCCCACCAAGGCGACGAUCCGUAGCUGGUCUGAGAGGAUGAUCAGCCACACUGGAACUGAGACACGGUCCAGACUCCUACGGGAGGCAGCAGUGGGGAAUAUUGGACAAUGGGCGCAAGCCUGAUCCAGCCAUACCGCGUGGGUGAAGAAGGCCUUCGGGUUGUAAAGCCCUUUUGUUGGGAAAGAAAAGCAGCAGGUUAAUACCCCGCUGUUCUGACGGUACCCAAAGAAUAAGCACCGGCUAACUUCGUA